rnacentral:misc_RNA from 1 species
GCCAUUGUGGUCAUUUUGUUCAGAGUCUCUGUUUUAUAAUUCAUUACUGGUGUUACUUUUAUGAUAAAAAGUGAGAAUGAAAUGGUCACUUUGACAUGGGACGGCUUUGAAAUAAGUUUUUAACAAGAAUUUCAAAGUUUCUACACAGCAAAGUUGAUUUAAUUAUUAUCUAGGAAUUAUAUCUAAAGCUUGAGGUUAUGUGGGUAAAGUAUUUUGAGUGAAAAUCAAGCAAUAAAUAAGAUAUGCUUAGCUAUGUGCCAUUGGUAUCAUGCCUAGGUUGGUGUUGCUGCACACGGUCCCAAUGAAAGCACAAUUGCUAGAUAUUUUCUGAAAAUAUUCCUCAUUCAAUUGAUAUAAAAAGAAGAGAUUGUAUGGACCAUGCACUACUGAACAACUUCUAGACCUUAAGUAUAAGCUGAUAAGAAUGACAAACUGAAAAUAAGGAAAAUACAAGAAAUUAUAAAGGCAACGGUUAGUUUGCUAGUAUGUCUCCUCCUAUCCUUUUAGCUUUUUGCUAUUUCAAAACAAAAGGCAAAAUGUAGCUGUUAGUUAUCCGGUGUACACUCCUUCGUUCUUUCUACAU